rnacentral:rRNA from 1 species
UACAGAGGGGGCGAGCGUUGUUCGGAAUUACUGGGCGUAAAGGGCGCGUAGGCGGCCAACUAAGUCAGACGUGAAAUCCCUCGGCUCAACCGGGGAACUGCGUCUGAUACUGGAUGGCUUGAAUUCGGGAGAGGGAUGCGGAAUUCCAGGUGUAGCGGUGAAAUGCGUAGAUAUCUGGAGGAACACCGGUGGCGAAGGCGGCAUCCUGGACCGAGAUUGACGCUGAUGCGCGAAAGCCAGGGGAGCAAACGGGG